rnacentral:rRNA from 1 species
GACGAACGCUGGCGGCGUGCUUAACACAUGCAAGUCGAACGAGACCCUGCCUUCGGGCAGGUGUUCUAGUGGCGAACGGGUGAGUAACACGUGGGCAACCUACCCUCAGCUCUGGGGAUAACCCCGGGAACGGAGCUAAUACCGGAUACGACCUGGAACGACAUCGCUCCAGGUGGAAAGUUUUCGGCUGAGGAUGGGCCCGCGGCCUAUCAGCUUGUUGGUGGGGUAAUGGCCUACCAAGGCGACGACGGGUAGCCGGCCUGAGAGGGCGAACGGCCACACUGGGACUGAGACACGGCCCAGACUCCUACGGGAGGCAGCAGGUGGGGAAUAUUGCGCAAUGGGCGAAAGCCUGACGCAGCGACGCCGCGUGAGGGAUGAAGGCCUU